GACGAACGCUGGCGGCGUGCUUAACACAUGCAAGUCGAACGGAAAGGCCUUCUUUUUUUGGGUUCCCGAGUUGCGAACCGGGUAGUAACACGUGAGUUACCUUCCCCUUACUUUUGGAUUACUUCAGGAAACUUGGGCCAAUACCGGAUUAGAGCUCCUUCUGCCUUGGUGGGGUUGGAAAGUUUGGGCGGUUGGGGAUGGACUCGCGGCUUAUCAGCUUGUUGGUGGGGUAGUGGCUUCCAAAGGCUUUGACGGGGAGCCGGCCUUGGGGGGUGCCCGGCAACAUGGGGAUUGGGAUCCGGCCCAGACUCCUACGGGAGGAAGAAGUGGGGAAUAUUGAAAAAUGGGCGGAAGCCUGAUGCAGAAACGCGGCGUGCGGGAUGACGGCUUUCGGGUUGUAACCCGCUUCCGCCUGUGACGAAGCGUGGGUGACGGUAAUGGGUAAAGAAGCACCGGCUAAUUACGU
rnacentral:rRNA from 1 species